rnacentral:rRNA from 1 species
CGGGACACGUGGUAUCCUGUCUGAAUAUGGGGGGACCAUCCUCCAAGGCUAAAUACUCCUGACUGACCGAUAGUGAACCAGUACCGUGAGGGAAAGGCGAAAAGAACCCCGGCGAGGGGAGUGAAAAAGAACCUGAAACCGUGUACGUACAAGCAGUGGGAGCACGCUUAGGCGUGUGACUGCGUACCUUUUGUAUAAUGGGUCAGCGACUUAUAUUCUGUAGCAAGGUUAACCGAAUAGGGGAGCCGAAGGGAAACCGAGUCUUAACUGGGCGUUAAGUUGCAGGGUAUAGACCCGAAACCCGGUGAUCUAGCCAUGGGCAGGUUGAAGGUUGGGUAACACUAACUGGAGGACCGAACCGACUAAUGUUGAAAAAUUAGCGGAUGACUUGUGGCUGGGGGUGAAAGGCCAAUCAAACCGGGAGAUAGCUGGUUCUCCCCGAAAGCUAUUUAGGUAGCGCCUCGUGAAUUCAUCUCCGGGGGUAGAGCACUGUUUCGGCAAGGGGGUCAUCCCGACUUACCAACCCGAUGCAAACUGCGAAUACCGGAGAAUGUUAUCACGGGAGACACACGGCGGGUGCUAACGUCCGUCGUGAAGAGGGAAACAACCCAGACCGCCAGCUAAGGUCCCAAAGUCAUGGUUAAGUGGGAAACGAUGUGGGAAGGCCCAGACAGCCAGGAUGUUGGCUUAGAAGCAGCCAUCAUUUAAAGAAAGCGUAAUAGCUCACUGGUCGAGUCGGCCUGCGCGGAAGAUGUAACGGGGCUAAACCAUGCACCGAAGCUGCGGCAGCGACACUAUGUGUUGUUGGGUAGGGGAGCGUUCUGUAAGCCUGUGAAGGUGUACUGUGAGGUAUGCUGGAGGUAUCAGAAGUGCGAAUGCUGACAUAAGUAACGAUAAAGCGGGUGAAAAGCCCGCUCGCCGGAAGACCAAGGGUUCCUGUCCAACGUUAAUCGGGGCAGGGUGAGUCGACCCCUAAGGCGAGGCCGAAAGGCGUAGUCGAUGGGAAACAGGUUAAUAUUCCUGUACUUGGUGUUACUGCGAAGGGGGGACGGAGAAGGCUAUGUUGGCCGGGCGACGGUUGUCCCGGUUUAAGCGUGUAGGCUGGUUUUCCAGGCAAAUCCGGAAAAUCAAGGCUGAGGCGUGAUGACGAGGCACUACGGUGCUGAAGCAACAAAUGCCCUGCUUCCAGGAAAAGCCUCUAAGCAUCAGGUAACAUCAAAUCGUACCCCAAACCGACACAGGUGGUCAGGUAGAGAAUACCAAGGCGCUUGAGAGAACUCGGGUGAAGGAACUAGGCAAAAUGGUGCCGUAACUUCGGGAGAAGGCACGCUGAUAUGUAGGUGAAGUCCCUCGCGGAUGGAGCUGAAAUCAGUCGAAGAUACCAGCUGGCUGCAACUGUUUAUUAAAAACACAGCACUGUGCAAACACGAAAGUGGACGUAUACGGUGUGACGCCUGCCCGGUGCCGGAAGGUUAAUUGAUGGGGUUAGCGCAAGCGAAGCUCUUGAUCGAAGCCCCGGUAAACGGCGGCCGUAACUAUAACGGUCCUAAGGUAGCGAAAUUCCUUGUCGGGUAAGUUCCGACCUGCACGAAUGGCGUAAUGAUGGCCAGGCUGUCUCCACCCGAGACUCAGUGAAAUUGAACUCGCUGUGAAGAUGCAGUGUACCCGCGGCAAGACGGAAAGACCCCGUGAACCUUUACUAUAGCUUGACACUGAACAUUGAGCCUUGAUGUGUAGGAUAGGUGGGAGGCUUUGAAGUGUGGACGCCAGUCUGCAUGGAGCCGACCUUGAAAUACCACCCUUUAAUGUUU